rnacentral:rRNA from 1 species
GUCUAUGGCCAUGCUACCCUGAACAAGCCUGAUCCCGUCUGAUCUCAGAAGCUAAGCAGGGUCGGGCCUGGUUAGUACUUGGAUGGGAGACCACCGAGGAAGACAAGGUGCUGUAGGCA